rnacentral:rRNA from 1 species
UUUGUGAGGUUUGAUUCUGCUCAGAAUGAACGCUGCGCGUGCCUAUACAUGCAAGUCGAGCGACGACGAGAGCUUGCUCUCUGAUCGUAGCGCGACGGGUGAGUAGCACGUGCAUAACCUACCCUAUCAGACUGGGAUAACUUCGGAACCCGGAGCUAAUACCGGGAUAAUAUUUUGAACCGCAUGGUUCAAAAGUGAAAGACGGUCCUUGCUGUCACUUAUAGAUGGAUCCGCGCUGCAUUAGCUAGUUGGUAAGGUAACGGCUUCCCCACAGGCAACGAUGCAUAGCCGACCUGAGAGGGUGAUCGGCCACACUGGAACUGAGACACGGUCCAGACUCCUACGGGAGGCAGCAGUAGGGAAUCUUCCGCAAUGGGCGAAAGCCUGACGGAGCAACGCCGCGUGAGUGAUGAAGGUCUUCGGAUCGUAAAACUCUGUUAUUAGGGAAGAACAUAUGUGUAAGUAACUGUGCACAUCUUGACGGUACCUAAUCAGAAAGCCACGGCUAACUACGUGCCAGCAGCCGCGGUAAUACGUAGGUGGCAAGCGUUAUCCGGAAUUAUUGGGCGUAAAGCGCGCGUAGGCGGUUUUUUAAAACUGAUGUGAAAGCCCACGGCUCAACCGUGGAGGGUCAUUGGAAACUGGAAAACUUGAGUGCAGAAGAGGAAAGUGGAAUUCCAUGUGUAGCGGUGAAAUGCGCAGAUUAUGGAGGAACACCAGUGGCGAAGGCGACUCUCUAGUACUGUAAUUGACGCGAGAGAGUGA